UACGUAGGGGGCGAGCGUUGUCCGGAUUUAUUGGGCGUAAAGAGCGUGUAGGCGGCUUGGCAAGUCCGCUGUGAAAACUCGAGGCUCAACCUCGAGACGUCGGUGGAAACUGCCUGGCUAGAGUCCGGAAGAGGAGAGUGGAAUUCCUGGUGUAGCGGUGAAAUGCGCAGAUAUCAGGAAGAACACCCGUGGCUAAGGCGGCUCUCUAGUACGGUACUGACGCUGAGACGCGAAAGCGUGAGGAGCGAACAGG
rnacentral:rRNA from 1 species